CUCACAGGUGAAAUCCACACUCACAUCUGUCCUCUGAUGUGUUACUUUGCUGGCUUUGAGGGCUCUGGUGAGGAAUUUUGGGAAUAAGGGCAUCCUGUGAUGAAUUGUCCCAUACACUGUGUAAAAUAAUACCAGAGCAGUGGGGUAUCCACAGAACAGAUACUCUCUCCCACAUCAAUGAAUGCUGGGGAAAAUGGGAAGCUUGCUCAGGGAGAGAAGGACUUCGAGAUCUUCAUCUUCAGACAAUCUUGUGUGCCCUCUUGCCUUAAGUCCCAUUAUAUAGAGUGUGGUCAUUUUGAUAUGACUGAAGUCACGGAACUGUCGAUCAUUCCAACAUCAAGGUUCGAUUCACAUGUUUGUUUACAGAAAGUAUCAUAUCAGAAGUUUCAUUUUGUCACAUCACCCAAUUGAUCUGGAAAUACUGAUGAUGCAGUGAAGCCACAGCUAUGUAAAAUUAAUACA